CCUACGGGUGGCUGCAGUGGGGAAUAUUGCACAAUGGGCGCAAGCCUGAUGCAGCCAUGCCGCGUGUGUGAAGAAGGCCUUCGGGUUGUAAAGCACUUUCAGCGGGGAGGAAGGCGGUGAGGUUAAUAACCUCAUCGAUUGACAUUACCCGCAGAAGAAGCACCGGCUAACUCCGUGCCAGCAGCUGCGGUAAUACGGAGGGUGCAAGCGUUAAUCGGAAUUACUGGGCGUAAAGCGCACGCAGGCGGUCUGUCAAGUCGGAUGUGAAAUCCCCGGGCUCAACCUGGGAACUGCAUUCGAAACUGGCAGGCUAGAGUCUUGUAGAGGGGGGUAGAAUUCCAGGUGUAGCGGUGAAAUGCGUAGAGAUCUGGAGGAAUACCGGUGGCGAAGGCGGCCCCCUGGACAAAGACUGACGCUCAGGUGCGAAAGCGUGGGGAGCAAACAGGAUUAGAUACCCGUGUAGUC
rnacentral:rRNA from 1 species